CCCUUAGAUGUUCUGGGCCGCACGCGUGCUACACUGAGCGGAUCAGCGGGUCAGGUUGCGCGAAAGCGUUUCCUAAUCUUUAAAUCCGCUCGUGAUGGGGAUUGACGGUUGCAAUUUUCUGUCAUGAACGAGGAAUACCUUGUAAGCGCGGGUCAUCAUCCCGCGCUGAAUACGUCCCUGCCCUUUGUACACACCGCCCGUCGCUCCUACCGAUUGAAUGCUCAGGUGAGCCAUUCGGACUUUCAUCAUGCUGGUUUCCAGUUUUGAUGAAGGAAAGUCUUGCGAACCUUAUCAUUUAGAGGAAGGAGAAGUCGUAACA
rnacentral:rRNA from 1 species